GUGUCAGCAGCCGCGGUAAUACAGAGGUCCCAAGCGUUGUUCGGAUUCACUGGGCGUAAAGGGUGCGCAGGUGGGUUUGCAAGUUCGAUGUGAAAGCCCCGGGCUUAACCCGGGAAUGGCAUUGGAUACUGCAGAUCUGGAGGAUCGGAGGGGGGACUGGAAUUCUUGGUGUAGCAGUGAAAUGCGUAGAUAUCAAGAGGAACACCAGUGGCGAAGGCGAGUCCCUGGACGAUACCUGACACUGAGGCACGAAAGCUAGGGGAGCAAACAGGAUUAGAUACCCUGGUAGUCC
rnacentral:rRNA from 1 species